rnacentral:rRNA from 1 species
GUAGGGAAUAUUGGGCAAUGGUCGGAAGACUGACCCAGCCAUGCCGCGUGCAGGAAGACGGCCCUCUGGGUUGUAAACUGCUUUUAUCUGGGAAGAAAAAGGCCAUGCGUGGCAAAUUGCCGGUACCAGAUGAAUAAGCACCGGCUAACUCCGUGCCAGCAGCCGCGGUAAUACGGAGGGUGCGAGCGUUGUCCGGAUUUAUUGGGUUUAAAGGGUGCGUAGGCGGCUGAUUAAGUCAGCGGUGAAAGACUUCGGCUUAACCGGAGCAGUGCCGUUGAUACUGGUUGGCUUGAGUGUCGGAGGGGUACAUGGAAUUGAGGGUGUAGCGGUGAAAUGCAUAGAUACCAUCAGGAACACCGAUAGCGAAGGCAUUGUACUGGCCGACAACUGACGCUGAUGCACGAAAGUGUGGGGAUCGAACAGGAUUAGAUACCCGAGUAGUCC